UGUGAGACAUGUUUGCAGGUUUUUUUUCAUGGAGGUUGCGGGGGAAUUUCUUUUUCCUUUGUAAUAAAACCUCAAGUAUGGGAUAACCUGUAAAGCUCAGGAGGGAUAGCGCCAUCUCAAAUAAAAACCUAUAUAUGGCGCUAUCUAUCCUGAGUUUCAUGGGUUCUUCCUGCUAUAUACUUCAAGAAUGAGGCAACUUUGGUACACCCCAUCUGCUAAUUUUGGUGAGUUUCUUUAAUUAAGCUUUUCCCUUUUAAGUUGAUUUUGGUUCUUUUUUUUUUGUUUUUUAAUGUAAGCUGCAGGUUUUUACUUGGAAUCUUCUGCAGAAGUUAAAAGCUGAUGAUGAUGAUUAUACACCAAAAAGAAAGAGAAAGAAAAAGGGUUGAUCUUGGAUUUUCUUAUUGUAAUAUAUAUUUUCUCAUCUCACUUAAAAAAUUCUCGGAUGGGGUUUAAUUUAGCAUCUUUUUCUGCAGAUUCUUGUAUCAUAUAGCUAUAUGUGUUGUCUUUCUAGGUUACAGCCAUGUCUAUGGAGUCUUUUUAAAGACAAAAAUCCAGUAUUUUUCCCAAUGGUCCGGUUGCCUUAUUUGUCAGUAUUUUAUUGUAAUUAAUGCAUUAUAUGAUCCAAGUACUUGAUAACGUUUAAAGGGUUCUUGACAAGAAAACAAACAAACCCAGAUUAGGUAAUUCCUAGAGUUAAUCUCUUUUAAUGAAGAGAAUGGGGUAGAGAUUGUUGAAUGAUGGAAUAAGAAACUGCUGUAAUUUCACCUCUGAUCCAUAUGGUUUUACAAUUACUGCUGCUGCGAUUCAUCUUCAUCCUCCUUCAAAGCUUAAACCAGUACUGUGAGGUAGAUGAUGAUGCUGAGGUUGACUAAAAAAAAAUGUAAAUGUAGCUCUCUUUGGGUUCCCUGUUGAGAAGCUAUAAAAAUCAUGUGGUUGGCCAUUAUAAUGAGCAAGUGUAGGGUUGGGAUGGAUUAAAUUUGGGGUUGAGUGGGUGUGUUAAAAGAAAAUUGAUCCAACUUUAGGGUACAUGAUAUGAGAAACCAAAGGGAGCAAAUCAUAUGUUAUGAUCCUCAACUAUGUAUAUAUUAUUCACCUAUCUUAUUAUAUAUAAAUAAAUAAUGAUCAUCUUCGUGGAGAA